rnacentral:tRNA from 1 species
UGGCGUCCGUGGGCACGGUCUGGGGUGCCGCGGCCGCCUGCUGUGCGACCGGGGCCGCCGGCCGCGACGGCGGGACGUAGUC